rnacentral:rRNA from 1 species
UAUGUAGAUGCCUAUAAUGUUAAUGCAUCAUAUCCCAUUAGAACUCCAUAGUUAAGCAUUCUUGGAGUAGAGUAGUAGUAGAAUGGGUGACUGCUCGAGAAGUCCUAAUGUUUUACAUGC